rnacentral:rRNA from 1 species
UGGGGAAUAUUGGGCAAUGGGGGAAACCCUGACCCAGCAACGCCGCGUGAGGGAAGAAGGUUUUCGGAUCGUAAACCUCUGUCCUUGGUGAAGAGGAGAAGACGGUAGCCAAGGAGGAAGCCCCGGCUAACUACGUGCCAGCAGCCGCGGUAAUACGUAGGGGGCAAGCGUUGUCCGGAAUGAUUGGGCGUAAAGGGCGCGUAGGCGGCCUGGUAAGUCUGGAGUGAAAGUCCUUCUUUUAAGGAGGGAAUUGCUUUGGAUACUGCUGGGCUUGAGUGCAGGAGAGGUAAGUGGAAUUCCCAGUGUAGCGGUGAAAUGCGUAGAGAUUGGGAGGAACACCAGUGGCGAAGGCGACUUACUGGACUGUAACUGACGCUGAGGCGCGAAAGUGUGGGGAGCAAACAGG